UUGUUUUGAGCUAAGUUUUGGGGUCAUUUGUUGUGCAGUAAUAGGUAACUAUGGUCCCAUGAGCUGUCUGAGAGUAGGACCAGGAAUGAAGGUUUACCUCUCUGCCUCCUCAGGAUCUAGCACAGCGUUGACACAGAGAAAGGCACAGAAAUCUUAGCUGCAGUGAUGGGAAGUCGCUGGCGAAUCCAGGAUUACCCCACUGGGGCAGGAGGCAGAGACAGGCAGGGAGGGAAUGCACAUUCUCCAUUUGAGGAGUGUGCAAAGAAAGGUUUAAUGCAGGACGUCUCUUUCAUUUAGUUCUUAUUUGUCUCCAGGAAUGCCCAGAGCCAUGACAGUGACUCUUGGCCACCUUGAGGACUAAAUACCUGGCAUGUUCAUAUAGUCACUGACAAGUGAGGUUAUUCUGUCCACCCGAGGCUGUGGGUCAGGAUGGGGCAGGUGGUCAGCAUUGUUCUGUGUCAGCAGGAAGAUUCAUGAUAUACACCUGGUGGAGACAUCUCACCCAUGUCUCUAGUUUGCAGCCAGAGAGAAACGCAUGUUCUCACGGCCCUUGCAGAGAGGGGUGACUUGGAAACCUGUACCCCACUUCUCUAAUGUUUGCCCACAGCUACCCUUCCUGCUACUCCUGCACUAUAUCUUUCACUGUAAUAAACCUUAGCCGUGGCCAUAGCUUGUCAAGUCGUAUGAGCCCUUCCAGUGAACCACCAAACUAGUGGGGGAUCUCAGGACCUUUGGAGCAGAGUGGAAUGAUGUUUAGGGGGGAAAAGAGGAGCUUGUUGUUAUAAGAGAAAAGGAAUGGGCUCUAUUCAUCCCUCCCUAAGCUCCAUUAUUUGACAGAAUAGUGGCCCCUCGAAAAAGAUGUCCACAUUAUAAUCCCCAGAACCUGUGAAUAUUUUACCUUUCAUAGCAAAAGGAACUUUACAGCUGUGAUUAACUUAAAGAUCCUGAGAUGGAGAGAUUAUCCUGGAUCAUCCAGUGGGUCCAAUGUUAUCGUAAGGGUUAAUAUAAAACAGAAGUUGGAAGGUCAGAGUCAGAGAAGCAGAUGUGCUGAUGGAAGCCGAGGGUGGGCUGGUGUGGGGCCACAUGCUGGUGGAAUGAGGCAAGGAAGUGGUUUCUGCCCUGGAGCUUCCAGAGGGAACGAAGCCCUGCUGACACCUUGACUUUGGCCCAAUGGAACUAAUUUCGGAUUUCCAACCUCUGGAACUGUAAGACUGGAGUAUGUACCCACUCCUCUGUGUGAUACUAAAAAGGGCAUCCAAGUUGAAGAAGCUUUGAACUGAGCAGGGUGAAAACCUUGGUCACAGCCGGACCAGAAACGAUCCUCCAGGAGGACCUGCACUGUGACUGCAGUGGGGAGGCUCUUCCCACAGGGUGGGGUUGGUGCUGUGGAUCUAUGGGGCCAAGAGCCAAGGACAGCCUGGGAUCCAGUCGGGUGGACCCUGCCGUGGCUGGGCGGGCCCUUGGCACUUGAGGGGACAAGGUGCCAUCAAACUCCCCUGGCGGCUCUGGUUUUGAGUCAGUCUCUUUUUCACUAGGUUCUUGCCCCUUUCCCAAUAACUUUGCAACUGAAAAUGAAGAAGCAGCAGGGGAAGGAAGCACAUAACAAAAUAUGGACAGGAAGUGACAGUAUCGAGGGCUGGAACUCCUAGGCCAGACGUCAGAAGAUAAGGAUCUGAAUGUUCUGGGGCUGGGGAGACAGGACCACUGGUCUGUUUGUAGCUCAGCCCCUCUGCCUCCAGGUGCUUCUGACAGUUGCUGGUGGGGGUGGGCAGGCCAGAGCCCUAUGGGCCUCCUGCUGUCCCCAAGCAGAAUGGCUGUGGGCAUUGGGUUGACACCGGACAGUGGUUCCCAUGUCGCAUAAGCCACGCUGUGGAUGGUGCAGCCUGUGGCCUCCAGCAGUGGUAAGACCCUGGGGCGAUGGAGAUGAGGAAGAGGCUGUGUUUCCUUUGGGAAAGUGAUCUCCCGACUCCUUAGCCACUGAGAUCUUUGUCAGUUUCCUACUUCCUCUACUGGCUUUUCCCUCAAAUCCCAAGGGCUAACAAACUAGACUGGAGUUUGUGGACUUGAUUUGAUGAUGUCUGGUUUCAGGACCUCUCUGUGCCUCUGUCUUCUUACCUAUAAAGUGGGGAUAAUGGUACCUGCCUAACAGCUUUCUUGUGAACUUAAAUAAUUUAGGUGAAGCCAAUACCUGUGUCUUCGAGAAGAAUAUGUUUCUUUCUUUCUUUUUUUUUUUUUAAUUUAUUCGACAGAGAUAGAGACAGCCAGCGAAAGAGGGAACACAAGCAGGGGGAGUGGGAG